GGAGAUUGUUGCGUGUGGUAACGGAACUCAGAGGCCCGUGAGCGGCUGGCAGCAGGUUUCGCUCUGAUCUCUCGGAAAAUGACGGCGCCUCGCGCGCCGCGCAGCGCACCUCCGGGCCUCUCCGAGAGUCCCUCGUCUUCUCGAUGCUUCGUUGGGAUCCUUUCGAUGGCUCUAGUGCUCCUGCUACCCAUAUCCUCAGAUGCUUGUGGUGAUCCACCGAAAUUCAAUUCUAUGAGGAACACAGGUGCCCUUAAAGACAGCUACAAUCCAGGGGACAAAGUAGAUUAUGAGUGUCGCCUAGGAUAUCAGCGUAUUGUUCCUUUUCGUCCCACCAGUACUGUUUGUCAGCCUGAUAACACGUGGGCACCACCUCUCCAGGAGGCUUGUACAAGAAAAUCAUGUCCACAUCCAGUGGAACCCACAAAUGGCCAAGUAAACAGCGUAAAUGGAUCUUUUGUGUUCGGUUCACAGGUCCACUAUUCUUGUAAUGAGGGUUUUGACUUAAUUGGACAAAAAAUUCUAUAUUGUGAAAUUUCUGCUGAAACCAAUGAUGUGGACUGGAGUCAUGAUCCCCCACUAUGUGAAAAGAUUUUGUGUGCACCACCCCCCAAAAUACCAAAUGGAAAAUACACCAAUAGUGACAAGGACUUCUUUGUCUAUAAUGAAGUAGUAACUUAUAGUUGUGAUCGUUCAAGUGGACCAGAUGAAUAUUCACUUGUUGGAGAGAGCACUCUUAUUUGUUCUGGGAGAGAUGUCUGGAGCAGUGCCCCUCCUCAGUGUAAAGUUGUCAAAUGUGAAUCUCCAAAUAUUCAAAAUGGAAAACUGGAAUCAGGAUUUUCAAGAAAAUAUUACUACAAAGCGACUAUUGUAUUUUCAUGUGACGAGGGAUAUUAUUAUAAAGGCACCAACGUAGUUACCUGUGGAGCUGAAAGUACUUGGGAGCCUGGGAAGCCAGAAUGCUUUAAAGUGCCGAUUCCUGCCACUACCAAACCUCCGAUUUUGAGUCAUUCAGUGGUGACUUCUCCCAGUAUAAAAACUCCAAUUUCAGCUGUCUCAGGUUCCACGCCUACUCAUACAACCACUCCUCCAGUUUCAAGUCAUCCAGGACGUCCCGAUGAUGGAACACCACCUAAAGGAACUGAGAGUUUAGUUUAUGAUGAUCUGAUCAAAAUUAAAAUGCAGCUGAAAUCCGGAGGCCCAUAUGUGACUGUGUUCAAACCACUUGCAUUUUUUCUCAGGUGGAGGCAUCAUUGCUGUGAUUGUUCUUAGUGUAGUUGUUGGCAUUGCAGUAAUUGCUGGUGGCCUCUACGCAUUUCUUCGCAAGAGGAAAAGAGGGUUGAAGUAAAUCUGAUGGGGUUAAACUUAAUGUUGCUGAGAGGGAAAACAGAGGUUAGUGCUGCGUAUAGCACUUACCAGAAUAAAUCAACCAAUCCGGCAUAGCAGACACACAAACUGGUGCAUCACUUUAUCAUUUGAUCUGUUAAAAUGUUAAGGCCUACUAAAUCCAUACAGCUGCCAUACUAGAAAACAGUAUGGAGAUUCCUUAA